rnacentral:lncRNA from 1 species
GGUCGACGUGGUUUAGGGUCGUAGAUUCAUUGAAAUUUGCAGAAAUGGCCGGGAAACUCAAUCACUUCGUUUAGCUUCAAAUCUUAACCAAUUUACUCCAAAUUUGUAUCAAAAUGAAGAUAAAUGAACGAAAGUUUGAUUUUCACUUACACAAGUCAAAGAAGUGGCUGGAGAGACCGAAAAAUGGCCAAAUAAACUCGGAAUCUCACCGGAUUUCCUCAAGCCUGUGUUUAGGCUAGGAUUUUUGUGAAACAAAACUCAAGUUUAAGUUCAAGGAAUAGUGAUGGUGAAGGUGAUGAUGUUUUGGUGGUUGGUAGCUGAUGAAAGGCGGUGGUGGCGUU